UUCAGAACUGAGCGGCUCUGUCACGUUGAGCCGAUCGUUAUUGGAUGAGACGGUCGCGGUGUUAUCUCUGACGGCGAGGUCUGGUCGCCGUCUUCGAGGUGAUGCGUAUUCACACGGACGGAGUACUGAACGGGCCUCCCAGGCUCCUGCACAGGGGCCCGAGGGCUCAGGGGGGGCCGCCCUGAGACGCAAAAUGACCACAAGCGGCGUGUCGGGCGUGUUGUUUGCUGAGGUUUUUGACAGGACGGGGAUUUGUGGAUUGGAUCGACAGCGUGGACGAGACGCGUCUCCAGUCUGGCUGCGUGUGAAGACGAGCGAUAAGGGCCGCUCUUCUUUGCUUUCACGUCAUGUGGGGUGAAAGGAAGCGUCAGUGGGCUUGAGUCACUUCGUUUUCUCCCCCCUCUCUCUCUCUCUCUCUCUCUCUCUCUCUCUCCAAACUUUGUGGCCUACUUUUUCGGCGCUUUGAAAAAUUGUCUUUGGCAAGGGUUGGAUGAAAGUUGUCGGGGGGAGGCGGGGGAGCGCUGGGCAGAGAGCGAAGGCUUGCCCCUUUAUCUUCCUGCCCAGACCUCCAUCAUGUCUGACUCUCCCUCCCUGUUUCCAUCUUUUCCUCUCUCCUCUCAUGUUGUGAGAUUACUCAUCGGCACAAAUUCUUGCAUCUAGAAUAAAAAGCGGCUCAGUUUCAUGUGACGGGCUGCUCUGAAGAAUGUGAUCAAACCGCCUGAACACAAACAGCCUCUUUGAUGCCGUUUCACAUCUUUUGGUGAAUUUUCAGACACACAAAAAUGAAAUUUUAAAUAGUCAAGAAGGUUUUUUUUUUUUAGGAGUGCGUACUGUUACCAGCGCUGAACGAGGACUGGAGCCACGACACCGACUUAGAAGAAGAACGCGUCACGUCAAGAAGAGGUCAAAGGUUACGUCAGAAAAACAACAGCUGGACUCUCCGCUGCGUGGGAGCCGAUCCUACAUGGUGCGGAUGCACGUUCAGUGAGAAGUGACGCGGAGCUGGAAGCCGAUUGGUCCUCCCAGCACGAGGUGAUGACAUCACCCCGAGGGCCUGCCGCCGCCGGGUUUCAGGCGCUUCAGGCCGUCUCCGCAGGUCUCGUUCAGAGGAAUGAACUGGAAACACCUGAUGAAACUCUGAUGCAAACGUUGCUGAAUGUUCUGCUCGCUGCUGCUGGAGGCCACGCAGCCUCCGUGCCUCCUCUGACACGUUUCCCCCAAAAUAAAAUCCAGCGUCUUUUCUCAUUUUAUAUAUUUUCCAUCCCUUGAAUGUUUAUUCUGUCUAAAGAUCAUUUUAAUCAGUUUAGUCAAACCUGUCAGGCUCAUUCGUGUUCAUUCAGUUCCAGCCGGCUGAUUCGGUCUGUCAUCCAUCGUGUGAGGAACCAGCAGCCAGUGGUUUGCCAAGUUGCAUCACAACAUUAGUAUCAGGAUGUAAACAUGUUUGUGUAAUACAUGCUAAAAGUUAAACCGGGACCAGAAAUAGUCUGAGCUCAGUGUAGGACUGUAGUUCACGAGGCUUCCUGCACGUGGAGGAGGACGAGUCUUCCUUCGACUCUGAGACGUGAAGUUAAUAAAGUUUUGUUUACUGUGUGGAUUCAAAACACUCAGCAGGCGCUACAGUAAAUCUGACGCAGGAGAAACUGAACUGAAAGCUGCUGAAAUCAAUAUUUCCAUAUGGGAAAGCAGUCGCUUGUAGUGAUAAACACGCAGAAAGUUGUCCUCGGCUGUGCGCAGCGUUUUAGCAUCUUUCAGCUCAUCGUUUUGGUUUGAUGGCCCGAUGAUUUGGCUCACUCUCACCGCUCUCAUCAGCAUCGCUGUUGUCAUCAAACGAGCUCAGUGGUGGAACGUAACUUUACUCAAGUUCUGUACUUCAGUGCACUUUUGAGGUAUUUGUACUCCAUUUUACCUACUUCUCCUCCGCUACAUCUCAGAGGGAAAUAUUGCACUAAAGUUACUCUUUGAUAACUUUAGUUACUAGUUACUUUGCAUAUUCAGAUAUUUAAUAUAAAAUAUAAUCAACAAAUAAAUUAUUGGGGGGGAUGUUCACAAUCAACCCAGCAGAUAAAGUAGUUAAAAUUUAGCUUCAACAUUAAAGUGAUGAACACAAUAAUGCAUCAAUAAUUAUAAUCCUAUAUAUAUAUAAUUCUGUUGCUUUAAGUAUAUUUUGAUGAAUUUGAAUGCAGGCCCUUAACUGGUAACUGAGUGUUUCUGCACUGUGGUUUUGCUACUUUUACUUAAGUGCUCGAUCUGAGUCCAGCUGCUGAACAUAGCGGAGCAUCUAGCCGCUAAAGAGCCAGAUGUUUCCCUCAGCAGCUGCUGGAGACCAAACACAGAGCUAAAAGACGACUUACACCAUGUCUACACAGGAUGUGUUCAGGUACAGUACUGAGUGUAAGUCACCUGUGUGUUUGGCAUCGCUCAGAGCCCAACACACAAUCACUGUAGUUACGCACGUGAAAAACGGGAGAAAAUAAGACUUAAAAAUAUGCUUCGGUCUGCGUUUAAGCGCGUGCAACGCGAGCCUGCGUAGACAGCUGGGUGUCUGAGACGCCUGCUGUGUGGACACACCGAGACAUUCGUCACGCAGACGCCACUCUGAGGGGACGAUGAGGUCGCUCUGUGGCUGCUGGACGUGGAAGUAGGCAGCUGUUUGCUAACAUGUCAAAAUCAAAUCAAAUCAAUGUGUGCUUAUUAUUAUUAUCUUUGAAUAAGAUCAGAUUAUAUAUUGAUUUAAAUAUACUCUCUCUGUUAUGUUUCCCUGUAUUGCAUGCACUGUAAACUGAAUUACAUUACAUUUCUAGUGCA